rnacentral:lncRNA from 1 species
CUGGAAUAAAUCCACCCUGUUCAUGGGGAAUUAUUCUUUUUAUACAUUGCCAGAAUCAGGAUGCAAUUUUUUUUUGAGGAUUUCUAUAUUUAUACUCAUGAGUGACACUGGCUUAUAAUUUUCUUUUCUUGUGUUAUCCUUAUCAGAUUUAGAUCAAGCUUACAUUAGCCUCUUUUUCAAUACUCUGAAAGAAUUUUACACAAAAUGAAACUGGAAGAACUUAUUCUCUCAGUGUUUGGUAGAAUUCACCAAGGAAACCGGGUAGGUCAGGAGUUUUCUUUGAGGGAAAAUCUUUGACUACUCACUCAAUGCCUUUAAUGAUUAUAGGCUAUUUUGAUUCUCUACUUCUUAUAGAACUGAUUUUUGUAAACUGUGUUUUUCUAGGUAAUUCCAAACAUUUGAAUUACAAAGACAACUGAUAUCUGGAAUGCUGACCCUGAGGUGAACUCUGUAAGAAAUUAAGUGCCUUCUGAAUCAUGGGAGAAAUAACAGCUGACAUGCAGAGGAGGGGGCAGUGGAGCUUCAGAGGCGCUAGCUAGCCAGUCCAAAGCCACCGUGAGGUUUCCAGAGUCCGUUUCAGUGCUGUGGCUCAAGGAACGAACAUUAGAGCCAUGGAAAAGCAGCAGAUCACUUGGUUUCCAGUCUCCUCGCCGAAGUCUUCCAGAGAAAGCAGCCUCAGCUGCAUUCACCAGAGUCUCUCUUGGCCUUACAUCCCAAUCACCUUUACCCUCUCUCUCUCCUUUUCUCCACUGCACACCCCUCCCCCGCUUCCCUUCAGCUUUGCUUUCCUGCUCUCUGUCUUUCUUUCCACAGGCAUGUGAUUGUUUAGAGCUUCUCCAUGUCAGCUCUGGCCGGCUCACAAAGAGAUCUUAUAGCUAUGAGCAUCGACGUAUAAGUUUUUGUGUACACUAUACACUGAGGAAUGGAACUGCUGGGUCAUCUAGUCACUAUACGUCCAGCCUUUUGAGGAAUGAGCACUGCUUUUCACAACGGCUGUACCAUUUUACCCUCCCACGGGCAACGUAUGAAGGUGUGGAGUUCUCCAUAUUCUCCACAGCACUUAACAGUAUGUGACUUUUUUAUUCUAGCUAUGCCAGUGGGAACAGAGUGGUAUCUCAUUGGGG